UUAUGGCCAUCACUUUAUCGCUUCGAUCACUAUUGAAUAGUGAUAAGUUGAUGUGAUCUAAUUUUAAUAGCUGGUAUCGAUAAUGUCAGAUCAUCCUGGAGCAUGAGCGGAUCUUGUACAUGCUGACAGAUCUAGCACUGGAAAGCCUGCUCCGAACACCUAUGGCAGCCAUGAACGAUGAGUUCAGCCACAAGUUCGAGGAUGCUUAGCCAAAAGAGAUGUUGUAAGUGUUAAAUGAAUCCUUCGGUACUCUCGAUAAUGUUAAGUGGCACAAGACUAGUUGUGCCAUUUUCAAUACUCAAAUGAGAGAGGAAGCAUCGAUCAUCGAUCAUGUAUUGCACAUAAUUGAGCACAUCGAACACCUGAGCAAGUUUGAUUUUUUUCUGCA